AACCCAUGUUGAGGACAUUUCCGUAAGAGCCCCUUAAACCUAUCCUAUCUCUCAAAAAGAGACACCAAUUCUAUUUGCAAAAAGGAAGAUAUUCCAUUCCUAAGCUU